UUGCCCUACGGGACGCAGCAGUGGGGGAUAUUGCACAAUGGGGGGAACCCUGAUGCAGCGACGCCGCGUGGGUGAAGAAGCGCCUCGGCGCGUAAAGCCCUGUCAGCAGGGAAGAAAAUGACGGUACCUGAAGAAGAAGCCCCGGCUAACUACGUGCCAGCAGCCGCGGUAAUACGUAGGGGGCAAGCGUUAUCCGGAUUUACUGGGUGUAAAGGGGGCGCAGACGGCGAUGCAAGUCUGGAGUGAAAGCCCGGGGCCCAACCCCGGGACUGCUCUUGGAACUGGGUGACUGGAGUGCAGGAGGG
rnacentral:rRNA from 1 species